CCUACGGGAGGCAGCAGUGGGGAAUAUUGCACAAUGGGGGGAACCCUGAUGCAGCGACGCCGCGUGGGUGAAGGAGCACCUCGGUGCGUAAAGCCCUAUCGGCAGGGAAGAAAAGCGAACAGGUUCGCCUGGACGGUACCUGACUAAGAAGCCCCGGCUAACUACGUGCCAGCAGCCGCGGUAAUACGUAGGGGGCAAGCGUUAUCCGGAUUUACUGGGUGUAAAGGGGGCGCAGACGGCGAUGCAAGCCAGGAGUGAAAGCCCGGGGCCCAACCCCGGGACUGCUCUUGGAACUGCGUGGCUGG
rnacentral:rRNA from 1 species